rnacentral:rRNA from 1 species
AAUUCGAUUAGUUUGAUCAUGGCUCAGGACGAACGCUGGCGGCGUGCUUAACACAUGCAAGUCGAGGGAACUCUUGGGGCAACCUGGGAGUGACCGGCGAACGGGUGCGUAACACGUGAGCGACCUUGCCUAGUGGGGGGGGAUAGCCGGCCCAACGGCCGGGUAAUACCGCAUAGGGUGUUUUCUUCGCAUGGGGGAGACAGCAAAGCUUUGGAGGAAUCCAAGGCGCCACAGGGGGGGCUCGCGGCCUAUCAGCUAGUUGGGGGGGUAAUGGCCCACCAAGGCGACGACGGGUAGCUGGUCUGAGAGGAUGGCCAGCCACAUUGGGACUGAGAGACGGCCCAGACUCCUACGGGAGGCAGCAGUGGGGAAUCUUGCGCAAUGGCCGAAAGGCUGACGCAGCGACGCCGCGUGGGGGAGGAAGGCCUUCGGGUUGUAAACCCCUGUUGCCCGGGACGAAAGCGCUCUUUAGAGGGCGUUGACGGUACUGGGUGAGGAAGCACCGGCUAACUCCGUGCCAGCAGCCGCGGUAAUACGGAGGGUGCAAGCGUUGUCCGGAAUCACUGGGCGUAAAGGGCGCGUAGGCGGCUCAUGAAGGCUGUGGUGAAAGUCCGGGGCUCAACCUCGGAUCGGCCGUGGCGACUGGUGNNCUGGAGCACUGUAGAGGCGGGUGGAAUUCCGGGUGUAGCGGUGGAAUGCGUAGAGAUCCGGAAGAACACCAGUGGCGAAGG